AUGCAACGUUCGUUUCACUUGCGUUUAGAUGGGCCACCACAAGGGGCUGUAGACUGCUUGACUAUAGACAGUAUAUGAUAUGCUACACGACAGAUUUAACACAAAAUGCAGAAAUCGACAGCGGCAGCAUCGAAAAGGUGGAUUUUAAGGUCACAUAGUGGAGUGUGAUCGCAAAGCAGAGCUGGCAGAAGCCUCAGUCCACUCACCUGUUCAACAAAGCUCUACGUCACCAGGCCUGGCGCCAGGUAAACAAUUACUGCAGUUAAAUGACACCUGCCAUGGAUUCCCCCUCAGCUUGCUCAUGUGAAAGCAGCAUUGACCUGGCCUAAGAUUAACAGCUGCUAGCUUUCAGUGCCAGCUACAGUUUCACGCAGUGUCUCUCUUCUAAACCAAUCCAAGUGUGGCAUAAAGUCCUGGACAAAUUGUGAUGCCAGAACUCCUGCUUUGCAUUAAAAAUGAUUUAAAACCAUAAAUACAGACACGGAAGAUUUACGCAAGGCCACCAUGCGUAAAAGAAAUUGCACAAUGUCCAGAGACUAAAGAGUGAAACAUGUUUCUGAAAUGACAGCAACGUACAAAGUACAUGAAAAUCAAGAACCUGCCAAGUGGUCCACUCUAUUAUUUAUUCAGUUCUUUGGUUCUGACUUUUUUCUUUCUUUUUUUUCCUGACACUAUCCAAGUCACAUGUAAAGCAUUUUUAAACUCUGUAUGAGCUCAGACUCUGAUUUAAAAUAAAAUAAAGCACAGAAAGGGAACAUUAACAUCUUACCAAUAUGUAUACAUUCCUAAUACAAACAGUGAUUUUUUAUUUUCAUUACUCUGAUAGCAUAAGCAUGAGUGGGAAAACAAGCCUUUAUUGGCUAUUAUAUUGCAGCAUGAUGUGUCGUGUGAACUUAAAGAAUAUGAGGAAACUGGACAGCUAGUGGUGGAAAAUUGAUUGACCUGAGGACAGAGGAGUCGAGGUAUUAAACAAGAAAACAUCUUCUUGUUUCAGAGCGGUCUUUUUAAAGUGAUCAAAUAAAUAUAGUAGGCCCGGCUGUGCCUGUGUUUAGCCCAUGUUUCCUGUUUGCUGUAGCUAACAAAUGGUAGCAGGUGCAUUAGCACACUAAAAGUGCCAGUUUUUCAGUACCAUAUAUACAAUGAUAACCAGCGCUAUGUUUUUUAAGCAUUCUUUGUACAUGAAGUAUCUAAAGCUUUCGGACAGCUGGGAUGCACUACAGAGAUGUGGUGGAGUAGAAACUUUUCACAAAAUAGAAAUAUUGUUUUACAAACUCCUCUAAUAGUCAGGAGAGCUGCAUGAGGCCAUAAAGGUGCUUUUUAUUUUUGAAAGUUCUGAAGAGAAAGAACUAAUUUAACAUUGUGUGAGAGGAUUAUUUAAAGAAGAAGUGAUGGUUGAGUAUCAGACUGAAGGCAGACACGAGUGUCUGGUUUCUCUCUCUCUUCCUCUCACCUCAUCUAUGAGACAAACACUGCACCCUCGGAUGAUCCCUCCCGAUGUGAUAUUUAUUUCUCUCCAGAUGAAAGUCAUGAGAGAGUUGAUCACCUUACACUGAGCUUAGGUCUGCCUUAAAGAUCGCACUGUCUGCAGCGUCCCUGUGAGUGAUAAGUAAUCAAAGCAAGCAGUAGCUAUUAGUAAGCUGAUAAUGGAGUGUAAUAGCAGUAAUCAUGAUGGUUAUUUUUAAAGAGAUGUCAAUCCUGUGUUACACCGGUGCUGGGUGAUAUAACUCCAGGUCAGACUGAGGCCGCAGGCUCAGCCAGUAACG